UCCGGAAGACGAGCAAAUGUAAAUGGCCAUCAGGUCAUAUUUUUCGCCUUUCUUUAUCUUUGCUUGACGAACAAACAUGGCAGUGCCCAGAAGCGUUAGCUAUAGCUUCAGGUAACUUAACUUCUAGAAAGUUUUUACACAAUGAUUUUGACUCGUCGUCAGCUCUCCCAGGAUAUGUGGAACAAGAUCAACUUAGGUAAACUUGGGUGAGACGUCAGUGAGUUCCAACUUCCGAGAAAUAUGCAGGCUUUCAGAAGAGGGGGCUAUCCAGUGUUGUGUGGGCUGGAUCCCUCUGCAGUCUCUGGAUUAGUCAACCCAGACUUAGAACUCUCUGCUGGAUGAAGAGUACAGGCAGCUUGGGUGGGUGGAACCCCUCCCACUGCUGGACUGCACACAGUGUUUACGGUGUAAUAUACAUGUCUCCAGUAACAGAGAGCCAACAGGCACUGUUAUUUAAUAACCAUAUAGGAAGAGAUUAUUUAGGUCGAUGAUAUUAACAACAUGAUAUUAUGAACUGGUAUGUUCGAGCCCUACAUGCUAUUUGUCUUAUAGCCUGGGAACAUCAGACCGUAUACUUCAGGUAUGGGGAAAAAAUAAAUGUUUGCUGUUCUAAUUACAUUGGUAACAAGUUUGUCAUAGCAAUAAGACCUAUAGGGAUUGUGAUUUAUGGACAAUACCACCGUUAAGGGAUAUAUCAAGGCACUACUAAGAACAGCACUUAUCUAUGGUGUAUAUCUGGAAUACCAUUGGUCAGAACUGACAAGCUGUACCUAACUCCACAAGAAAGGUAGAGCUCAUAAAGUUGAUAUAGUAUUCAAUAAGUAGGUUUCUCACUCCUUGCAUUUAUGAUGAGCCUUUUCUGCCUCUUCCUUCCCUUUUGUCUGUAGACUUACCCAGCCCUUUAUGAUAGGGUGUUAUCCAUUACUGUGUAUUCUGGACACAGUA